UCCUGGUGACCUCGUGCAAUUGGAUUUUUCUAGGUCUGUUUGCUUUCAUAUUAUAGAUUAACAAAUAACUUAAUCAUCGUUUUUACCUGUAUAAGAAUAGUUUUGUGUGGAUCAAAUUAGUGAACAAAAUACUCAUCGUUGUUCCAUUUUCAAGGUUGACAUUCUUUUCUUUUUAAUAGCUCUUACAUGCCAAUUUCUAGCUGAGGGUUUAAAUUGAAUGUCAUAUGCAACCGGAUUCAAUGAAGUCAAUGAAUUAUUCACUUAAAAGUGAGAAAUUCUUCAGCUAUGUUACUUUUUG
rnacentral:lncRNA from 1 species